rnacentral:lncRNA from 1 species
UUUUUUUUUUUUUUUGUCUUUUUGCCUUUUCUAGGCCUGCACCUGCAGCAUAUGGAGGUUCCCAGGCUAGGGGUAUGGCCCGAAACCGCCCCCCUCCCCAAAAAAAGAAGCUGGUCUUUCCAAGGGUGCGUGGGGUCCUGCUGGGGUUGGGGGCAGCCAGAUGCUACUCUGAAGGCUCCCCAGGGCACCACACACACGCAUGCACAGACCCACGCAAUGCACACCCACCUGCACUUGUGUAUUUAUUACUCCAGUCAGAUGGUACACACUGACAUACGUGGACACACAAUGCAAAUACACACUGGUGUGUAUGCACACAGCAGUGCACACCACCACCAGGUAGGCAUGAAAGCACACACUCACACACACACACGGACGUUACACACCAUGUGAGGAUGCAUACAUGCCACAAUCGCACGUAUGUCCACACGUGCACACAGCCCCACCCACCUAAACAGGCACCCACAUCCCCACACACCUCCACACACAUUCCCCGGGGCAGGAUCAAGUGACCAGAAAGGGACAACUGUCCACUGGCCCAGGAACCCGGGACUGGCUGUGAGCUCUGGGUUCCCCCGUGAGCUCUGCUGCCACAGUUUCAGGAAGCUCAGCCUCUCAAUUCGAGCCUAUUGCUACAGCCGGGGACGCUGAGGUGUGUCCCCAUUUUUACAGCUGGGAUGCUGAGGUGCCAGGUCCCGCAGCGAUCUGCCUGAGAGGACAGGAUCCGGUAUUUGUUUAGUGGCUUUAGACCCGGAAGCCUUGACGGGCGGCGCCUUGAUCCAGUCUUGCCACGGCCGCAGGUGGCAGACGUGGCCCCACGCUACAGACACAACAGAAGGUACAAUGAUGUUUGCAAAGACAGACGGGACGGGACGCCGUGGAGUGGAGGCUAUUAUCAGGCCCAUUUUGCAGAAGUGAACACCAAGGGGUGGAGAGGUGACACCACUUGGCUGGGUCUGAACCCCAGAGACUUUGGGAUGCAGAGCGAGAGGCGUCUACUGGGCAGCAGAGAAUCACCUGGAAGCCCUGAAAAUGCACCACGGCCUGGAACCCCUACCCUGAGAGUCCGACUUAAGUGGUCUGUGCGGUGGAGGGUGGGCCUCAGGACUUUGGAAAAGCAGGGCCAAGGGCAGGCCCCAGCUUUUCGGCGCUCAUCUGCUUCUGGAAUCCUCUUGCCUCCCUCUGCGAGGGCUCCCAGGGGAGACGCCUGAGUUGAAAUCAGACUGCAGGUGGGGCCCCCUUCCCACGUCAUUUCAAUCCCUGAGGCCAGCAGGUCCCCAGAGAAGCAGUUGGGAAGACGACCAAGGUGUGAGGCUGGCGGGUGUCCUUGAGCGGGGCCAGAUGGCCGCUCCCACGGCAGGUGGUGCCGCCCGCGCUGCCAGAAGCUCCAGGGAGGCCCGGGGCUGAGUCAGAAACCUAGGCUCCCUGCCCGGAAGGUGACUUUGGAACCUUGUGAAUUCGGAUGUGACAGCUCCAGAAGCUGGGAGGAGCCCUCGGCUACAGAAUCAGCCCCUCCCCAAGCCUUGGUCACCAGGGACCAUGUGCUCCGGGGCAGGGACAGCGCAAGGGGACCCCAAUGCCAUGCACCUGCCUGCGGUGGGGGAGGGGGAGCACAGUACCUGCACCAGGGGUGGGCACAGAGGGGUGUGUGUGUCUAUGAAGGCGGAGGGCCAGGGGUCUCCAGCCAGUGGGCUGUGCUGUGUGACCCUGGAUCCAGCACUCUGCCUCUCUCAGCUGUGUUUACGUCCCCAUUUGGGAAAAGGGGAAAGAAACCUCCCUUUGCCGGCAGCUGAGGUCUUUGAACCCCGGCCCUGUGAGAGCGAAACCAAGCCUCACUUCCUCCCUGCCUCCCGGGCCAGACUUGGGGGAUCAGGACCGAGGGGGGGCCCAGGGAGUGUUGUCGUCUCCCCCUUUGCACCCCCUGAUUCCCCCGUCAUCGCUGGGGGGGGGGCUUUCUCCCAUCUUUUGAUUUCCUGUUCCCCACGCCCUCUCUUUCUCUGUCUCCCUUGCCAGAUGGUCCCAAGCCUGGUGGGGUCACAGGCUCUCCGGAGAGGGCACUCCCCGCCCCAGACAGGAAACAGCAGCCUCCUGGGGGGCCCCCAGCGCUAAGGUCUUCCAGAUGCGGCCUCUUCUGACGCACCCCUGGUUCGCGUCCCGGCAGGACCGUGACUUCCAAGGGGUCCCCGUGCUGCUCCGGCGGCCCCUGGACGUUCAGUCUGACCCGGGGAGACCUUGGACGUGGCCCGGAUGCCCUGGAGCGCGCAGAGCCGCCCCCUUUCCAAGUUGGGGAAAGGAAGGCGCCGUGGGGCCUGGGCCAACUGAUUUCCUGCGCUGGCGCCUGGCGGUGGGCAGCCCGCCUUUGGCAGCGGCUUGGCAUCAGAAGGCGCUGGCAGACCGCAGAAGUGGAGGGGGCCGGCGGGGCGGCUCCCACACGUCCAGUUCGCCCAGGCACCCAGGACAGCGGCGCCUCCACCUCGUCCUAAAAGUGGGUGCCGGGGGUGGGGAGUGUUUUGCAUCCUGGUUGCUAUGCAUCGGCUCUAUCCUGGAGUUCAAGCCGGGACCUGUCUCCCUCCGUGAGAGCCUGUGGCCGAAUAUUUCCUGUCUCUUAAAACAAGGUUCACCCGCCCUCUCCCAAGUCGCUGGCCCCCCACUGCCCGAGCUGGCACGGAAGAGGCCCCGCUCUAGCCACCCCUCCCUCAUCGCCCAGGGGCCUGGGGGAGGCUGGCAGCUGCAGGGAGGUUUCCCUCCCACCUUCUUCUCAUGGGAUCUGAGUGGGUUUUGCGACAAGGAGUGAGCCAGCAGGGCAGCCUGAGGCUGGGAACAGGCCGCCUGGGUCUGCAAGGAUGCUCUCCACGGCCCUAUUAACAUCUGAGAGAACAUUCUAGAGGAAGGAAGCUGGGGGGUGGGGUGGGGAACCCUGAGCACCUCGGAGCUCAGCAGACACACGGAGCCUGGGGACCGCGGGCCAGCCCUUGGGGCCCCAGGCCGGGGGUCUCAAACGCCGUCUGGGGUGGCCCCCACCCCCCCAUCCCGUAGGACACCGCAGCCUCCCGUCUGCGGAGCCUGGGCGGUUGCGGUUUUCCUCUCUCGCCUGAUCUAUUCUGGGCUGGCUCUGCUCGGGGCGGGCUGGGAAAGGGCUGAGGCCAGGGCAGGGCGGCAGCGGGGCCGCAGGAAGCCGGGAGGAGGCUGGCAGGCUGACUGAGGGGCUGCUCCGGGCAGGACCCUGGGGAGCGUGGGCAGGGAGGGCGCGCAUAUGAAGGGAGAGUCCAAAGAUGGAAAGCCCUGGGAGCCCUGGCGGGAAAGGAGGCUCCGAGCCACUGCGGUGAGGCCUGGGCACGGUGCCCGACCCGAAGCCAGAGCCACAGAGCUGGGCACCGGCCACUGGGAGGUGUCUCUGGCCGGCGUACGUGCCAGCUUGUGUCCACCACAGCCAGGCCUGCAGGCUCCGAGACGCCCCUCUGCCUUCCGGCUCCACCCCUGGACAGACCCGGCCCCCACGCUGGGCUCAGUCUGUCCGCCUGUGAAAUGGGGCGACUCGUGGCACUGCCCCUCUCAUGCGGAAAAGCCUGGCACACAGUAGGGAUACAAUAAUCUCUUCCCACUGUAACACACUCCCUGGUCGACACAGCCCUGAGGCCCUGGCUGCCCCAGGCUUAGAUUUUUCCGGGCCUGGUCAUUCCUUCCUCAGACCAGGGCUCUAGGGCAAGGCCCAUGCUCACAGGCUGGCAUGCAGGCUGCCCCAGUUUGCCCUCUCGCCUGCUCAGCUCCCACCUCGCCAUGGCCCGACCUCCAGCCUCGCUUUUCAAGAUGCCCAAGCAUCCACCCUCCCUACAAGCUCGCCCUCCCCCACUGAGCAUGCCCAGCUGCCUCCCUCCACCGUCUAAUUCUCACACACGGCAUUCCCAGAUUUAAGCACCACCUCCUCCAGGAAGACUUCCAGGGAUGCAUCCAGCCUGUGCCUUAUUGAGUUUCCAGAGCACUCAGCCCGGGCCCACGCGGAGCCUGGCAACCAUGUGCCAGCGGAGCUGGGGCUGGCACAGAGGGCAUUCACGGUGCCCGGGGAAGAUGUGCUUGUCAGAGGCAGUGGGAAAUGGGAUGGCACGGGUCCAUUUUGCUGCAGGAAAAGAGAUGCACUGGGUGUGAGGAGGGGGAGGAAGGGGGGCUUCCACUCCAAGGGAGACAGAUGAGCUAACACCGCCUCCCCCCGGGACCUGCAGAGAAGCCCACACCUGGCUCCCGGCAGGGCCUGGAAGCUUGGCGUGAACCUGCCGAGGCCAGGCGAGGCCAGGCGGGGAGCUGCAGGGGGGAGGGAGGGAGAGCCCUUCAGGACAAGACCAGCCGCCCUGCACGGAACAGGCUCGGGUGACUCGCUGACCCCAGGACCCACCAAAUCCUCGGCUUGAAGGUGAAGCUCAAAGCUGAACGGGCCUCCUCGUGUUAACAUGAGAAGAGCAAGUCCCCAACCUCCACGAUUAUUUGAGAAUUCUCCCUCCACACCCAUCAAAUUAGAGCAGUGUCCAACGGGGCCGCGGGAGCGCAGACAGGUAUUAAAUUUUAAUGAGCGCUAAUGGCUUUGCCCUACUUUGUGAGGGCCGGGCCUACAUUUAUGAACGUUUAAUUUCUCGGGCCCUGACCUCUUUCCUUCCCUCUCCUGCCGUCCCCUCGCCGGCUGCUCCCCUCACUGAUGCUUGAGGGCGGGGCGGGAACCUUCCUGGACCACCUGACAGUCGGCUCCCUGAGCCUGAUGGCCAAACGCUCACUCUCCUGGGGAGAAAAGCAGAAGCAACAGUCACAGCCCCAGAGCCUGCAGCCGGCAGGACCAGACUGUCCACGUGACGCUAGGAACAUGGCAUUUCAUGGAUUCCCUGACUCCCAGGUAGAUGCGGGAGCGCCCCCCCCGGGGGGGAGGGGGCACAUCCCACUGAUGCCUGCAGGCCAGCAGCCCACCUCCGUGGGACCACAGAUCCCCGGAGCCUGACUCAGGACCGCAGGGCAGGGUGGCGGCCGAGCCCCUGCUGCCCCCUGGCGGCCAUGAGGCCCACCUGCCGGGGGCGGGGGAGGUCUGACCACAAACCCCAGGCUCAGGCCCGGCCACCAGGCAGGCCAGGACAACGGCUUGGUUCUGGACCGGAAGUCCUAGAGAGAUCGGAGCCCUGGAGUCGGCUGCGAUCUCAUGGGUUUGGGUCCCACGGCCCCUGUGGGGCUGCACGUCCCAGCAGCCUGAAGGAAGACUGUUCUGGAAGGUUCCAGGCCUGCCUCAGGCAGUGAUGGGUGGCCCUCUGAGCCUGAGGAGUCAUCUUUGCUCAGUGAAGUUAACAAAACAUCCCCCCAGCUGCCUCAUAGCCCUUCAGCUUCAAGGUGGGGUCAAUGCCAGUCGCACUUAUUAAGCGCCUACUGUGUGCUGGGUGCUGUGGGACUGAGCCGUAACGACAUCAGGCGUGACUGCUGGCAGGAGCCAAGGGGUGACAACAUCACAGACUUCAGGUCAUUCGGCCUGGAGCCCCCAGAGCAUGCAGACCACCGUCUCUCCUCUGUCCCGCCAGAGGCCCCCAGAUGUGGCCCAAGCUCACACGUGCCCUCGAGAGCCUUCCACCCGCGUCUCCGGGAGGGAGCCGCAGCGCCUCCGCUGGGCCUGCUGGAAGCAAUGCCUGCAGGGCCCGGGGCUGGCGGCCUGCAGCGGCUCCCUGGACCUUCCCUCUGAUCCUCCUGCCUCUGACAAGCCUUCAGUCCUGCCAGAAGGAGGAGGCCAAGCCCAAAGAGGCAGCUCGAGGGGAGCAGAGAGAAGCCCAGGCUCUGGCCCGGCUGUGCGGGAAUUCGGGUGCUCAGAGAGACACACGCUCCACUGCCUCUGCGUGGACAGGGGGGCGUCAGUGGGAGGGUCUCCGACCUGGCUGGCGUCAGCCACCAAGGCCCCAGUCACCCUUCAGUAAGGAGGCAACCACCUGGCUUCCAGUCCCUUCCACCACCUCCUGGCUGUGCUCUCUAGCUGGGCCUCAGUUUUCCCGUCUAUGAACUGGGGACAGUGAGAGAACUUACACCCUCACAAGAAUGCCCAGUAAGAUACAGUUGAAAUUUAAAUUUCACAUAAAUAAGGAAUAAAUGGGUUUUUGUUUUGUUUUGUCUAUUUAGGGCCACACCUGUGGCAUACGGAGGUUACAGGCUAGGGGUCCAAUUGGAGCUGUAGUCACUGGCCAACACCACAGCCACAGCAACACCAGAUCCGAGCCCUGUCUGCGACCUACACCACAGCUCAUGGCAAUGCCAGAUCCUUAACCCACUGAGCGAGGUCAGGGAUCGAACCUGCGU